GUCGAACGCUGGCGGCCUGCCUAAUACAUGCAAGUAGAACGCAGUGACGAACGGGUGGGUAAGGAGUGGGUAAAAGCCUGGUAGCGGGGGGUAACUAUUGGAAAAGAUAGCUAAUAACGCCUACUACCAGACCGACCUGCGUUGUAUUAGCUAGUUGGUGGGGUAACCGCUCACCAUGGCAACGAUACAUAGCCGACCUGAGAGGGUGGUCGGCCACACUGGGACUGAGACACGGCCCAGACUCCUACGGGAGGCAGCAGUAGGGAAUCUUCGGCAAUGGACGGAAGUCUGACCGAGCAACGCCGCGUGAGUGAAGAAGGUUUUCGGAUCGUAAAGCUCUGUUGUAAGAGAAGCGGUAUCUUACCAGAAAGGGACGGCUAACUACGUGCCAGCAGCCGCGGUAAUAC
rnacentral:rRNA from 1 species